rnacentral:guide_RNA from 1 species
CCAACAAACAGAAUAACUAAUGCGCAGUGAUGAUG